rnacentral:rRNA from 1 species
CAGCAGCCACGGUAAAACGUAGGUGGCAAGCGUUGUCCGGAAUUAUUGGGCGUAAAGGGCUCGCAGGCGGUUUCUUAAGUCUGAUGUGAAAGCCCCCGGCUCAACCGGGGAGGGUCAUUGGAAACUGGGAAACUUGAGUGCAGAAGAGGAGAGUGGAAUUCCACGUGUAGCGGUGAAAUGCGUAGAGAUGUGGAGGAACACCAGUGGCGAAGGCGACUCUCUGGUCUGUAGCUGACGCUGAGGAGCGAAAGCGUGGGGAGCGAACAGGAUUAGAUACCCCUGUAGUCCCUGUCUCUUAUAC